rnacentral:lncRNA from 1 species
GAGAAUUUGAUAUUAUAGGCUCCCUUCUCGUAAUGUAGAUUAGAUUAAGUCUCUUUGUGAAAGUAGAAGGCUCGGCAUAGUUUUUUAAGGGUUUGAAUAUUCCUCUUUGGGGCAAUCUAAAAAGCUCAGCAGCUAAGAGCAAACACAAUUGAAGCAAAUGAUCAGUAAGGCAGUACUGACUAGUUGCAGAAGUCAAAUCGUUGCGGAUUCAUGGAUUAGAUUGUCUCUUUGUGAAAGUAGAAGAAGGCUCGGUGUAGUUUUUAAGGGUUUAAAUGUUCCUUUUUGGGGCAAUCUAAAAAGCUCAGCAGCUAAGAACAUAACACAAUUGAAGCAAAUGAUCAGUAAGGCAUUACUGACUAGUUGCAAAAGGCAAAUUAAUUAGCAUUUUGGAAGGAAAUGGACCUAAUCAGAGCAGAACGGUGUAGAGAAUGACACCCUCAACCCCCCUCCCCCCACCGCUGACAGAUGUCCCAUGCCACCUCACCUUUCAUGAACAGCUAUGCUCGAGAAUCAACUGUGAUAUAGCGACGACAUUCCCCCCCACCACAUGACAUUUAUAUCAUAGGCACCUUUCAUGAACAGCUAUGCUCGAGAAUCAACUGUGAUAUAGCGACGACAUUCCCCCCCAAAAAAGGGGGGGGGGGGAGCAAAUCGUAUAGCGGAUUCAUGUUGUCAAAUCCAUUUAGGAGUUAGACAUGGUUGAUUUUGUUCCUUUUGAAGUUGUAACUUAGUGACAUUGACAUGACACACAAGGGGAAAAAAGAAAAACAAACAUUGUACUGUCUGACCAUGAAUAAAAUGUUCAUCCACAAUCUCUUUCUGCUAUCCAUAGAGUUGACCUG